AUGACUUUCGGUGAUAUUACCUCAUUUUUUUUCACCUUCAACCUGCAGUCCACCCUUAUCCUGAGACACACCGCACCCCACCAGCGCUCCCCAAGGACGCAUCUCUCCUCCAUCCCCUUUCUUUCUCUCUCCCGACACAUCUCGCCACAGCUCCGGUGCCUCCGCCUCAAGGAGAACUACAUCGCCCCCACGAACCACGGACCCAAGCCGGCGCAUGCGUGCAUCGAUUGUACGAUGUGCGGCGCUCCGUCGAGCUCGCCUGCCCGCGUGUUGGCCGACGGAGGGGAGAGCCGACCAGAGUCCUCCGCCACUGUCCGCGCCAGUUUUCUUCCCCGAUCCAGAUCCCAGCUCCCCGCGCGCGUGACCGCCACCACGAGGAGGCCGAGGCCGACAAGGCAGGGUCUCGCCCAGCGUGUGUUCCCUUGCGGAGGAGCAGGGGUCGUGCUGGGAUGGAUAGCACCGGGGAGAAGCCCCUCCAGUGAUUUCAUGGGUUGCGGUUCGGCCGACGAGCUGGCCGACCAGGAGCAGGGGUUCGGGGACGCCCUCCGCACCGACAUGGUCAGCAUCCUCUCCGCCAUCCCCUCUCUGGAUCUCCCGCUUGCGCAGGGUCCAGGGAAGGGUCCGACCACUUUGGGUCUAUAUAUAAAGCUCUCUCUUGGUGAUGCAAGGGCACACUACCUUUCAAAUGCCAAGAAUGAACUUGGAGUUGUUUUUUCCCAAAGUAUAGCUGGUCUUUCGCUUUCUGAUAAUAUGGAGUACCUACUGCUGAUCCGGAGGCUGAGGAGGAAGAUGGAGCUGCACUUGAAGAUCCGGGGGCAAGAGGAGGAAGAAGAUGGUGCAACACUUGAUCCGAAGGCGGAGGAGGAAGAAAAUGAGGCAUCCAUCACUGGCGCGGACAAGGAGAGGGAAGCGGAGUCGUUGCCGCGAGUUCUGAAGGUGCGAGCUCGGAGGCAUAGGAUAAAUCGGAGGCGUGGAGGAGCAGCUGGCCUUGCUCGGAGAAGAGGCUCUUCAUCCGGCAGGCGAGUUGCUGGCUUGCUGCUGAGGGCAAUCUAG
rnacentral:rRNA from 1 species